rnacentral:rRNA from 1 species
AAGUCCCGCAACGAGCGCAACCCUCGUUCUAUGUUGCCAGCACGUUAUGGUGGGGACUCAUAGGAGACUGCCGGGGUCAACUCGGAGGAAGGUGGGGAUGACGUCAAGUCAUCAUGCCCCUUAUGUCCAGGGCUUCACGCAUGCUACAAUGGCCGGUACAAAGGGCUGCGAUCCCGUGAGGGGGAGCGAAUCCCAAAAAGCCGGUCUCAGUUCGGAUUGGGGUCUGCAACUCGACCCCAUGAAG